UUACGGCCAUAUUACGUUGAAACACCAAUUCUCGUAUGAUCGCCGAAGUUAAGCAACGCUGUGUCUGUUCACUGCCUAAAGGGGUGACCGCUUGGGAAUACCAGAUGCCGUAA